rnacentral:rRNA from 1 species
GACGAACGCUGGCGGCGUGCUUAACACAUGCAAGUCGAACGGUGAAGCGCCUUCCUUUUUGGUGGGUGUGGAUGAGUGGCGAACGGGUGAGUAACGCGUGAGUAACCUGCCCCCUUCUUCUGGAUAACCGCAUGAAAGUGUGGCUAAUACGGGAUAUUCUGGGUCUGUCGCAUGAUGGGUCUGGGAAAGAUAUUGUUUCGGUGGGGGAUGGGCUCGCGGCCUAUCAGCUUGUUGGUGGGGUGAUGGCCUACCAAGGCGGUGACGGGUAGCCGGCCUGAGAGGGUGGACGGUCACACUGGGACUGAGACACGGCCCAGACUCCUACGGGAGGCAGCAGUGGGGAAUAUUGCACAAUGGGCGCAAGCCUGAUGCAGCGACGCCGCGUGAGGGAUGGAGGCCUUCGGGUUGUGAACCUCUUUCGCCAGUGAAGCAGGCCUGCCUCGUUUGUGGGUGGGUUGACGGUAGCUGGAUAAGAAGCGCCGGCUAACUACGUG